AGAGUUUGAUCAUGGCUCAGGAUGAACGCUGGCGGCGUGCCUAAUACAUGCAAGUCGAACGGAGGGUAGCAAUACCCUUAGUGGCGAACGGGUGAGUAACGCGUUGGUACCUGCCCCGAAGUGAGGGAUAACGGGACGAAAGUCUCGCUAAUACCCCAUGUGCUCCGUAAGGAGUAAAGGAGAAAUCCGCUUUGGGAGGGGCCUGCGUCCCAUCAGCUAGUUGGUAAGGUAACGGCUUACCAAGGCGAUGACGGGUAGGGGACCUGAGAGGGUGAACCCCCACAAUGGAACUGAAACACGGUCCAUACACCUACGGGUGGCAGCAGUAGGGAAUAUUGGUAAUGGGCGCAAGCCUGAACCAGCAACGCCGCGUGUGCGAUGAAGGCCUUCGGGUUGUAAAGCACUCUUUGUCGGGACGAGGAAGGACGGUACCGGCAGAAUAAGCCUCGGCUAACUACGUGCCAGCAGCCGCGGUAAAACGUAGGAGGCGAGCGUUAUCCGGAUUUACUGGGUGUAAAGCGCAUGCAGGCGGUUGGCUAAGUUGGAUGUGAAAGCUCCUGGCUUAACUGGGAGAGGUCGUUCAAGACUGGUCGACUCGAGGAUGGUAAGGGAAAGCGGAAUUCCGGGUGUAGUGGUGAAAUGCGUAGAUAUCCGGAGGAACACCAGUGGCGAACGCGGCUUUCUGGACCAUGACUGACGCUCAGAUGCGAAAGCUAGGGUAGCAAACGGGAUUAGAGACCCCGGUAGUCCUAGCCGUAAACGAUGUGACUUGGCGGUGGAUGGGUAAACCGAUCCCUGCCGAGCUACGCGAUAAGUUCACCACCUGGGGACUACGCCGCAGUAAACUCAAAGGAUG
rnacentral:rRNA from 1 species